rnacentral:rRNA from 1 species
GGAAGGAUCAUUACUGAAUUGUCAACAUGAAGUUGUUGCUGGCCCUCGAAUGGGGGCAUGUGCACACUCUGUUUACACAUCCACUCACACCUGUGCACUCUCUGUAGUACUGUGGUCUGGGGGUUCUGUCCUCCUACUGUGGUUCUGCGUAUUUACACACACACUGUAAUAAAGUCUCAUGGAAUGUAUGUCGCGUUUAACGCAAUGAAAUACAACUUUCAGCAACGGAUCUCUUGGCUCUCGCAUCGAUGAAGAACGCAGCGAAAUGCGAUAAGUAAUGUGAAUUGCAGAAUUCAGUGAAUCAUCGAAUCUUUGAACGCACCUUGCGCCCUUUGGCUAUUCCGAAGGGCAUGCCUGUUUGAGUAUCAUGAACACCUCAACUCUCAUGGCUUGCCAUGAUGAGCUUGGACUUGGGGGUUUUGCUGGCCUGUGGUCAGCUCCCCUCAAAUGCAUCAGCUUUCCAGUGUUUGGUGGCACCACAGGUGUGAUAAACAUCUACACAUGUGGUUCCCCACCAUAUAACCUUCAGUGAUGGAGGUUCGCUGGAGCUCACAAAUGUCUUUCCUCAGUGAAGACAGUUCUUUGAUUGUUUGAUCUCAAAUCAGGUAGGACUACCCGCUGAACUUAAGCAUAUCAAUAAGC